CGGGCAAUCAUUAGGGCAAACGGGGCUUUAUCUGCAGCCGAAUAGAUCGCGAUGCUUGCUUUGGGAGGAGCGUGGCGAACUUUUGAGUAACACGUGGAUAAUCUGCCUCUAGGAUUGGGAUAACUACUCGAAAGGGUGUCUAAUACCGAAUAACAUGGCACGCUACACAAGUAGUAGUCAUUAAAGGUGGGGACCGCAAGGCCUACUACCUGGAGAUGAGUCCGCGGCCCAUUAGCUAGUUGGCGGGGUAAUGGCCCACCAAGGCGACGAUGGGUAGCCGGCCUGAGAGGGUGACCGGCCACAUUGGGACUGAGAUACGGCCCAGACUCCUACGGGAGGCAGCAGUUAAGAAUCUUGCGCAAUGGGGGAAACCCUGACGCAGCGACGCCGCGUGGACGAUGAAGGCCUUCGGGUUGUAAAGUCCAAUAAGCAGGGAAGAAUAAGCAACGGGUAAUAUUCGUUGUGAUGACGGUACCUGCCUAAAGCCCCGGCUAACUACGUGCCAGCAGCCGCGGUAAUACGUAUGGGGCUAGCGUUAUUCGGAAUUAUUGGGCGUAAAGGGCAUCUAGGCGGGGGAUUAAGUUGGGUGUGAAAUCCCUGGGCUCGACCCAGGAACUGCAUCCAAAACUGGUUCUCUUGAGUUCGGGAGAGGAGAGCGGAAUUCCCGGUGUAGCGGUGAAAUGCGUUAGAUAUGUGCAGAGGACCCGAUUGCGAAGUCACCUUGGCAUGCUACGAUUGAUGCUGAUGCACGAAAGCGGGCAGAUCGAACAGGAUUAGAUGAUCUUGUAGUCAUCGUCCUAUACGAUGUUCACUCGCUGUCGGAGAUGUACAGUGAGCCCCCAAACUAAGGCCUUAUAAGAACCACCUGGCAAACACGUCGCCAACGAUGAAACUCAAAGCAAUGGACGGGGGACACUACAAGCCGAGGAACAUGUGGUUAAAUUCGAUGUUGCGCGAGGACCCAUACCUGAGCUUAAAUGCAGCAUGCAUGUCGUGGAAACACGCUUCCCUUCGGGGCUGCCUACAAGGUGCUGCAUGGUUGUCGUCAGCUCGUGCCGUGAGGUGUCGGGUUAAGUCCCAUAACGAGCGCAACCCUUACCGUUAGUUGCCAUCAGGUGAUGCUGGGGACUCUAGCGGGACUGCCACCGUAAGGUGAGAGGAAGGUGGGGAUGACGUCAAAUCAGCACGGCCCUUAUGUCCAGGGCUACACACGUGUUACAAUGGCCGGUACAAAGGGCAGCUACACCGCGAGGUGAUGCUAAUCUCUAAAGCCGGUCUCAGUUCGGAUCGGAGUCUGCAACUCGACUCCGUGAAGUUGGAUUCGCUAGUAAUCGCGCAUCAGCCAUGGCGCGGUGAAUACGUUCCCGGGCCUUGUACACACCGCCCGUCAAACCAUGGAAGCUGGGGGGACCUGAAGUAUGCAACCGCAAGGAGCUCCCUAAGGAAAAAACCG
rnacentral:rRNA from 1 species